rnacentral:rRNA from 1 species
AUUGAACGCUGGCGGCAGGCCUAACACAUGCAAGUCGAGCGAGCGGCGGACGGGUGCGUAAUGUAUGGGGACUGCCCGAUAGCGGGGGAUAACUACUGGAAACGGUAGCUAAUACCGCAUACUAUCGGAUAACCCAUAUGGGAUUAGCUGGUAGUUUCGGUAAUGGCUCACCUAGGCGACGAUCCCUAGCUGGUCUGAGAGGAUGAUCCGCCCCAAGGGGACUGAGACACGGCCCAGACUCCUACGGAGGCAGCAGUGGGGAAUAUUGCACAAUGGGCGCAAGCCUGAUGCAGCCAUGCCGCGUGUAUGAAGAAGGCCCUAGGGUUGUAAAGUACUUUCAGUCGGGAGGCGUUACCGACAGAAGAAGCACCGGCUAACUCCGUGCCAGCAGCCGCGGUAAUAC